rnacentral:rRNA from 1 species
AGCGAACGCUGGCGGCAGGCCUAACACAUGCAAGUCGAACGAAGUCUUCGGACUUAGUGGCGGACGGGUGAGUAACACGUGGGAACGUGCCUUUAGGUUCGGAAUAACUCAGGGAAACUUGUGCUAAUACCGAAUGUGCCCUUCGGGGAAAGAUUUAUCGCCUUUAGAGCGGCCCGCGUCUGAUUAGCUAGUUGGUGAGGUAAAGGCUCACCAAGGCUACGAUCAGUAGCUGGUCUGAGAGGAUGACCAGCCACAUUGGGACUGAGACACGGCCCAAACUCCUACGGGAGGCAGCAGUGGGGAAUCUUGCGCAAUGGGCGAAAGCCUGACGCAGCCAUGCCGCGUGGAUGAUGAAGGUCUUAGGAUUGUAAAAUCCUUUCACCGGUGAAGAUAAUGACUGUAGCCGGAGAAGAAGCCCCGGCUAACUUCGUGCCAGCCGCCGCCGUAACAC